rnacentral:rRNA from 1 species
GCAGGCCUAACACAUGCAAGUCGAACGAACCUUCGGGUGAGUGGCGCACGGGUGCGUAACGCGUGGGAAUAUACACAUAGGUGAGGAAUAACGUAGAGAAAUUUGCGCUAAUACCUCAUAAUGACUCCGGUCCAAAGAUUUAUCGCCUAUGAAUUAGCCCGCGUCAGAUUAGAUAGUUGGUGAGGUAAAGGCUCACCAAGUCUACGAUCUGUAGGGGGUCUGAGAGGAUGAUCCCCCACACUGGUACUGAGACACGGACCAGACUCCUACGGGAGGCAGCAGUGAGGAAUAUUGGACAAUGGGGGCAACCCUGAUCCAGCCAUGCCGCGUGAGUGAAGAAGGCCUUAGGGUUGUAAAGCUCUUUCAAUAGUGAAGAUAAUGACGGUAACUAUACAAGAAGCUCCGGCUAAAUUCGUGCCAGCAGCCGCGGUAAUACGAAUGGAGCAAGCGUUGUUCGGAAUCACUGGGCUUAAAGCGUAUGUAGGCGGACUAGCAAGUCAGGAGUGAAAUCCCGGGGCUCAACCCCGGAACUGCUCUUGAAACUGCAAGUCUAGAAUCCUGGAGAGGUUGGGAGAAUUCCUAGUGUAGAGGUGAAA